UGGGGAAUAUUGGACAAUGGGGGCAACCCUGAUCCAGCAAUGCCGCGUGUGUGAAGAAGGUCUUCGGAUUGUAAAGCACUUUCGACGGGGACGAUGAUGACGGUACCCGUAGAAGAAGCCCCGGCUAACUUCGUGCCAGCAGCCGCGGUAAUACGAGGGGGGCUAGCGUUGCUCGAAAUGACUGGGCGUAAAGGGCGUGUAGGCGGUUUACACAGUCAGAUGUGAAAUCCCCGGGCUUAACCUGGGAGCUGCAUUUGAUACGUGUAGACUAGAGUGUGAGAGAGGGUUGUGGAAUUCCCAGUGUAGAGGUGAAAUUCGUAGAUAUU
rnacentral:rRNA from 1 species